rnacentral:rRNA from 1 species
CGGGGGGAGCAAGCGUUGUUCGGAUUUACUGGGCGUAAAGGGCGCGUAGGCGGCCUCCGCAAGUCAGUUGUGAAAUCUCCGAGCUUAACUCGGAAAGGUCAACUGAUACUGCGGGGCUAGAGCGCGGAAGGGGCAACUGGAAUUCUUGGUGUAGCGGUGAAAUGCGUAGAUAUCAAGAGGAACACCUGCGGCGAAGGCGGGUUGCUGGGCCGACACUGACGCUGAGGCGCGAAAGCUAGGGGAGCGAACGGGAUUAGAUACCCCGGUAGUCCUAGCCUUAAACGAUGAAUGCUUGGUGUCUGGGGUUAUAUAGUCCCCGGGUGCCGUCGCUAACGCUUUAAGCAUUCCGCCUGGGGAGUACGGUCGCAAGACUG